UGCUCCACCCGUGCUCCUCACCUGGCUGCCCGCUAGCCCUGCGCCUCGCGCCUGCGCUCUGAGCCCUCAGGGUCCUCGCUGGGCGUGCGAAGCUCGGCCAUGCUCCGGCCCUAUUCCUCCAGGCUGACGCCUCCAAGGUGUCGGUUUUGGGUCACUUAACGGCCGCUGUGGCGCAUGCCCCGAAGACAUUUUCCCACCGAUCUUCAGAACCCCGGGAACCACGACUCUCAGCCCCACAGCAUCCCAGACCCUCGCGCUGCAGCGACCUGCCCCUGCCGCGACUGUUGGGUACGGACCAGACCGGCGGCCAGGCUACAGGCUCUGUGGCUGUUAGGUCCGUGGAGCCCCGGGUGCGAGGCUUCUCGUGCGCGCAAGAGACGUGGACAUCCUCCGGACCAAUGGCAGGCCACAGAAGAGGCAGGAUGUCACCCAUGUUUCCCCCAACUCCAUGAUCCUGUAUAAAAUGGUUCAUUCCUGUCUUAACCCACCAGAUCUAAUUAGUGCUGCCCACAUGUACAUGGGUUUGAGUCCAUGCACCACAGCAUGGUCAGCCUGCCAGGAACCACACCCCUAAAGAAAACUGACUUGGACCCCAGCAGCCAUUCACUACCAGUAGCUCCUCAGCUAAGGGUGAGGUCCUGAGCACCCUCCCUGCUCCAUGCUGGAAUGUCGACCGGCCUGAUCUACCUGCAGGCAGACACGGCUGCUGUAGUUCAUUCAGCUAUCCUGUUGUGUCUGAAGACAACCUGUCCUAUGCAACCUCUGACUCACAAUCUUUCUGCCCGUCUUCCACAGUGUUCCCUGAGACUGUGAUAUAGAUGUCCUGCUUGCAGCAGAGCACUAGUAGACACUUGCAUUCUAUGUUUGGACCUGUGAGUCUCUGUAUUAACCACCGUCCACUCCAGUAAGAACCAUCUCUAGGGGAUAAGGGCUGCAGUAGUCUUUGAGUAUAGAUAUACAGAGCUAGAAGGCGACUUGAAACUAUGGACAUCUAGCUAAUAACAGUAAUGUGUAUUAUGAAUGGAAAGCCAGGAGCUAACUCCAAGAUGUUGCAAGGUCAGAAUUUUCUUUACAGCCAGGCCAAACCUACAGUCUCCCUUGGUAGAAGAAUGAAGCAGCCAAGACCAGAAGCAGAAAGGCCUCUUACGGUAAAAAAAAUCUUUGAUUACGAAAGCAAAACUUCAUGCUUAUUUUAUGAUCAUGGGAAAGGUACAUGUUAUGGGUUUAUGGUCAGACAGUUAACAUACCAUAAAACAUUUUACAGUCGUCAAUUCUCAGAAAAAUGGAACUAGGUAAUGUAUAAUUCACAAGUUUACUGAGAAAGAACAAACCAAACACAAGUUGAUUUCUAGAUAUGGACACAAUUAGGAGGAAAAAAUAAGUCAAAGUUUAACAUUGUUUAACUAAAAAUAGCUGUCCCUUGAUAAUAUGUUCUUCUCUAAGGCCUACAUGAGCCCCUCCCCCCAUGAAUUCUUGGCUGUAUUUACAGUGCCACAAAUGAGUUGCCCCUCCUGAGGCCUUAAAUCUAAUCAGAAAUUAUUUGUUUACCCCCAUAACAUUCAUGCCACUGUUACACUCAUGUCUUGCCAGCCUGGUCAUUAUUGUAGCUCACAGGGAUCACAGCUAUUGAUGUCUUUUCUUCCCACCAACCCCGUCCCACCCCCUGGCACUCUCCAUAACCCCUUCUGAUAGAGUAAAAGGGGAAAAACUAAGUUCCAGGUUGAUUUCUCCAUGUCCUGGGACCAAAGUGUGUAAUAUCUUCAGCAACAGAGUGUAGAAUAUUGCCAUUAAGAACAGAACCUAUAUAUAUAUAUAUAUAUAUAUAUAUAUAUAUAUAUAUAUAUAUAGAGAGAGAGAGAGAGAGAGAGAGAGAGAGAGAGUGUAGUGAUAUGUAGGCUCUGCUGACUUUGAACCUGAGAUCUUCUUUCCCGCCUCACUGAUGGGAUAAGCAGAGAUCAUAAACACCUUCUAAUCCAGCAGCACCAGAGACAACUGAGCUGAUUCUCAGAUGGAGGGAAGCUCAUCUGCCCUUGUCCAGGGUGGCGGUGUUUACCACAGGCACUUGGUAUAGGAAAGAUUAGUAUGCCUACAGUCUCACUUGCCUCUUCUUUUAUGUCUUUUUUUUUUUUUUUUU
ensembl:lncRNA